AGUAGUGUAUGCUUCUCCUAAAGACUAAGCCAUGCAUGCCUAAGAAUACGAGGAAGCAAUUCUCUCUGAAUCUGCGAACGGCUCCGCACACCAGUUGUAAACCAAAACGAGAAUGUUCGCGAUCCCGAUAAACAAAAGGAUCGCGGGCGAUAUGGAUAACCCUGGUAAUUCUGAGGCUAAUACAUGACCGUAAAAGCUGGGUGGCCUUGUGUCAACCGGUGGACGUGUGUUACAGGUAAGAAUGCCGGGAAAGGAUGCACGUCAUAACCGCUCUAACGCUCGGGUUGCUUUUUUUAAUUCAAAAUAUAUCCCUUGCAAGCGGGGCUCGUGAUGUGCUUCUGACCUAUCAACUAGAUGGCAGCGUAACGGACAUGCCAUGGUUACAACGGGUACAGAGGAUUAGGGUUCGAUCCUGGAGAGUGGGCCUGAGAGAUUGCUCAUACUUCUAAGGAAGGCAGCAGGCGCGCAACGUUCCCAUUGGACAACGUCCGAGGGCGUUAGGGGACAUAUGAAUGCCUGCCUUAUCGGUGGGCAAUUCAAAUGGGA
rnacentral:rRNA from 1 species